GAUGAACGCUGGCGGCGUGCCUAAUACAUGCAAGUCGAGCGAACAGAUAAGGAGCUUGCUCCUUUGACGUUAUCGGCGGACGGGUGAGUAACACGUGGUUAACCUACCUAUAAGACUGGAAUAACUCCGGGAAACCGGGGCUAAUGCCGGAUAACAUUUAGAACCGCAUGGUUCUAAAGUGAAAGAUGGUUUUGCUAUCACUUAUAGAUGGACCCGCGCCGUAUUAGCUAGUUGGUAAGGUAACGGCUUACCAAGGCAACGAUACGUAGCCGACCUGAGAGGGUGAUCGGACACACUGGAAGUGAGACACGGUCCAGACUCCUACGGGAGGCAGCAGUAGGGAAUCUUACGCAAUGGGCGAAAGCCUGACGGAGCAACGCCGCGUGAGUGAUGAAGGUCUUCGGAUCGUAAAACUCUGUUAUUAGGGAAGAACAAAUGUGUAAGUAACUGUGCACGUCUUGACGGUACCUAAUCAGAAAGCCACGGCUAACUACGUG
rnacentral:rRNA from 1 species